AGUCUAUAUGCCCUCCAGGUAAUUAUAGUCUAUAUGCCCUCCACAGGUAAUUCUAGUUUAUAUGCCUUCUAAGUGUUUGAUUUAGUAACUCAGACCCUGAAAUCUUAUCUCCAUUUGGAUAGCCUGAAUAGCCAUCUUCCCAUGGAUAGGAAAGGGUGUCUACCUGCCACAAUGGUUAGGAUCUUUCCUUUUUUAUAUGGAGAGUACUACGAGAAUCUUCCUUACUUUCCGAGCAGGCAAAAGCAAUCCUUCAGUCAUACCUUUUUCUAGAAGUCCUAGGCAUCUACUUUCUUAACUCCUCCCAUCUAGUCUUUUUCGAUACCAACCAUUGGUUUCCAUCCGAUCCAGCCCCGGAUCUUCCAUCCCCUGCUUCAUACAAAGCUGUGUUCUAUUAGAAUCUCCUGCGCAUUUAGAGUGAGAAGUCCAUCCUAGUCGAGUAGGAGAAAGCUAGUGCGAAACCAGGAUAUUCUAUAGAGAAAAUAAGACCCCUUCUUUGCCAGAGUUCCCAUUCUUUCCCUGGUAUGGCUAGGCUCGUAAUAGAUACAUUGCUUUUGAUUAUCUUUAGUAAGACGUUAUUGCCAUCUCCGGUGCUUCCAUAUUUGUUUAUUCUGCCGAGUGAUUCGAUGUAGUUGGAGCUAAUUACCCUUGUUGUCAGACCAACUUGGAGGAGUUUGUAGUUGCCUCUUUUUCGGUGCUGCCGGGUGCAGUGCCAGUUCUGCUAGCAGUCCAGAAUCUCUUUCCCUGCAGGUUGAGCCGCUGUUGGCUUACAUCGAGUUCCAAUCUUUCGACUUGAAACAAGAAGUUUUCUCAUAUUAUUUGAUACAUCUAAGAAGCCUAAGUAAGCGCAAGUGAACAAGCCAGGAUUUGAUAUAGAAAGAUCCAUCCCUUUAUAAGCCCUGGGAAGUUGAGAAAUCGGCUUUGCUUUGCUUUGGCUUUGAUAUAAGCUCUAUUCAAGGGAAAAAGAUGGAAAAACCAGAGAAGGGGUAACUAACCUAGUGAGAAGUCUUACCCUGGGAGCACUUCGUCCCUCUAUUUGGAAUUCCUCUUCAGAAGUGGUGUCCGGUCACCAAGAAAUGAUAUUGAUUCCGUUCAGCGAAAAAGAAGGUGUCCAAAAAUGAUAGAAACGAUAGCUAUGAUUACUUUGCUACCGCCCUCCGAAAGAUAGAAGUGACUACGUAGUAACCAAUGAGAGGGAAACUAUUGGAACAAGGGAAAGCGAACCAUAGAAUUGGAACAACGAGUUCUUGCCUCUAUUUAAGUGCAUUUCUUCUUCACUCGAUUCCUAUUCUUUUUGUCUUUUGCAACCUCGGCUCGGGUCACGGAACUCUCUUCCCUUCGCUUCGCGCCUUGGCUUGGCUACGAAACCAGGCUGUGAUCUACAUCGAUAAAGAAAUGGUGGACUGCAUCUCUUUAGUUCGAAUGCUUUUCNNNN
rnacentral:lncRNA from 1 species